UGCAUCCCUGGCCCUUCUUGAGAGUCAAGCGGUUUCACCAUCUUCCCAAUCACCUCCAUCAACAGGGGCCUUGUCUGAGCAUCGGGGGCCUGAUACGGUUCAGGAGCAGAGGAGAGAAAGGGGUGCCUCUGCUGGGAUCUGGCUGAACGAAUGAGAGAGGAGUCUCACUGGCCCAGAAUUAUGGGGGGAAAAAUCCCAAAGCUGUCUCACUCUCAGCAGAGAGUGUGAUUUGAUCAAGUCCAUGGUUUCAAGUCUACCAUAAAUCAGACAGAAAAAUAGAAAGAGAGACUGAAAAAAGUGACAGAGAAAUCCAAGACUCACGCAGCCUGGGAUUCCGGGUCCUAUUCAUCUGGGAAAGAAGAGAGUUGUGAAGCUGUCAAGCACAUAGACAGUGAACACAGAGGGGAACAGGUCGAGGCCACAGCUAGGACAGACGGAGAAAGAGUUUGAUUAGGUGACCACAGUUACAUAUUCCCCAUUGGAGAUGAAAAAGGACAGCCGUUUCCUGUGAAAAUAGAACGGGAUACAAAGAGCUCUUUCAGGGCCUGGGCGCCCCGCUGCAGAAGCUCUUCCAUGCCCCCAACACCAGCCUGCCUGACUCACAGAGACCAAGCCAGAGACUGACACAGGCCCCAGCCCAAACACACAACAUUUCCACAUCCUCCCAGCUUCUUACACUCACUGACACCAACUAUUAAUUCACUAAAGUAAAAAGCAGCUAUUGCUUAUUCAGAACAGAUGAGUAGCAAGGCUGCUGAGUUUACAUGAAGUAUAAAAUGAAACACACUCGAUUAAGUUUUGGCAUGUAAUUCAUCCCAUACUGUUUGUACAUUGCAUGUGCUACUGAUGUGAAUGAUACAUCAGAAAUGGUGUAGUUGUUUUUUUUUUGUUUUUUUUUAAAGGGGUCAUAUGAUGUUGCUAAAAAGAACACUAUUUCGUGUAUUUGGUGUAAUGAAAUGUGUUUAUGUGGUUUAAGGUUCAAAAAACACAUAAUUCUCCACAUACUGUACAUUAUUGUAUCUCCUCUAUGCCCUGGCUUUCUGAAACGUGUUGUUUUUUUACAAAGUUCAUCCGAAAAGCGAGGUGUGCUCUGAUUAGAGAGCCAGCUAUCCAGUGCGUUGUUAUUGGUUGAAUGCCUCAAAUGUGUAACAGAAA